rnacentral:piRNA from 1 species
UACACCUGCUGCCCUGAUGGUUUUUGAAAC